UAGUGGCAUCAAAGGGAAAAGGGAAGUCCCGAUUAGCAUUGAGCUCUCUUGGUUUCCGGAAAAGGGUAGUCAUCACUUAGGAGCCUUGACUGCAAAGUCUCCUAGUUGCCACCUCCAAACCACCACUACAAAUGGGAUGGUUGUCGCAGGCUGAAAGUUACCUGCUUGCAAAUCCUUGCAUAGCAUCUAACAGAUACCUCCUGCUGCCAGCAUGGAGGUGGGUUGGACACUACCUCAUGGUAAUUGUAGCCAUCACAUCUUAGCAGAGCAACCAUGGGUUGAAACAAAACUGUCUGGGAUCCAGAAGGCUGUUGCCUCAUUUGACCAGUCCUGGGGGCGAGAGAAGCAAAGGCAUAAUGACUGGAUCGUGGCCACUGUGUACAAAAGUUCCUUUUCCUUCUUUCUGGAUUUUGUUCGCUCAUGUCGUGAUGUUGUAUGAAAUGUAUUUUUUUCAAUAUAUAUCUAUAAAUCGCUUGUUUGUUUUUUAAAGAAAUGAGCAAAUGGAUGUGUCCAUUUAGACCAGGGGUCAGCAACCUUUUUCAGCCGUGGGCCAGUCCACCGCCCCUCAGACCAUGGGGGGGGGGGGCUGGACUAUAUUUUGAAGGGAAAAAAUGAACGAAUUCCUAUGCCCCACAAAUAACCCAGAGAUGCAUUUUAAAUAAAAGGACACAUUCUACUCAUGUAAAAACACUCUGGUUCCCGGACCGACCACGGGCCAGAUUGAGAAGGUGAUUGGGCCAGAUCCGGCCCCCGGGCCUUAGGUUGCCUACCCCUGAUUUAGACUGUAUUCACACGACAGUUUAUUCUGCUUUUAUUAUGUUUCCCUAACUGUUAAUUAUAUUUGAGCUUUCACAUGAUGUGAAAGCCACUUCCAGGAAUAUAGAAUAAGUUUAAUGCUCAUUUCCAUGUUAUUCGCAAAUAGAUUUUUUUUCCUGGAAGUAAGUAACAGGGAAAUGAGCACCAAAGUCACACUAUACUCCACAAUAUUUCUGAAAUUGAAAGCUCAUACUGUAUGGAAGCUCAUGCGGAAUGAAGAAAUUAACAGUUAGGGAAACAUCAGGAAAAUGGAAUAGACUGCCAUGUGGAUGGAGCAUUGUGUUCUAUUCCUGGAUGCGGCUUUUGAAGCUCAAACAUAAUGUGAAAAUUAAGUUAGGGAAACCUCAUGGAAAUGGAAUAAAGGCUAUGUUCCUAUCUGGAUUGGGUUCAUGUUCCACCAAGCCACAAAGAAGUUUUAAAUCACUGCAAAAUUGGCAGUUCAUUCUGAACUGUGAAUGAAACCAACAGUUAUUUCUUUCAGAUGGAUCUCAGAUCUGUUCCCAGUUGUGAUGGUGCAUGGGACCAAAAACAAAACCCUAUAAAGUAAUAAACACAAUUGAUAUCAUCCAGAGCUUCUUGCUCACUACGAUGCAUGCAUAGCGACUUGCCCAUUUGCUUCAAUAGAGGGGCUAGUUCUGAGAGUCCAUCCCUAGUUUUGCACAGAUGGAGCCAUCCCUUCCUUGGAGAUAAAACGAGAAGCCCUUGCAUGCAGGAGGUCUGUGUCUGCAUCUGAGCUUCUGUGCCAAACAACUGAAAUUGCCCAGAUUCCAGGACUGGCAACGGAGCAAAUUUCAACCGUUCCAUAGGAUCUCCCAAGAUUCAAUGGACUGGAUGUUUGCCCGUACGCCGCAACCAGUCAAUUGCACUGGUAUCAAGGGAUUAUUUUGCUCAGAUUCCACAGGGAUCGCUGCAGCAAAUUGCCAGGGAUCCAUUGAGAAGAAUGGCCAAGGUUUUGAAAGCGUCAAUGGAAGCAAUAGGCACUCAUUGAGUGCCAAAAGAAAAUGUUGCCAGGGUCGAAUGGCGGUCUGUGUAGCAUAGGCACCAGUGGAGAAAAGGGUUCCAGUUCUAUUGGCACCCAUGGAGAACAUGGCCCAGAUUGUAUCUCAGAAAGACUGCAAAGACCCUGUGGCUGCUUAGGACAACAGGCAGGUAACUCUGCAUGUCUGGAAUCUUGAAAGGCUCCCUCCUCUAAAUGGUAGAUGAGAGGUGGCUGGCUUGCUCAGACACCUUGUAUUUCCAGGCCAGACCACACACACACACCCCUGGUCAAACUCAAAGCACAGGUGAAAUUUGGCAAAAGGAAGGAGUGAUGUUAUUGUCACUGCUGUUUCUGAAUGUAAGCUGGUUAUCUUCUGGUGUUGACUCUUAAGCUGGCAAUCUUUCUUAUCAACUGAAAGGGAAGGUUUAGGAAGAAAUGUCUUCGUCUGCAUGUUAUGGAUAUGAAUACCAUUUAAAUUUAUUGCCCACCUCUUCACUCUAAGGUCCCAGGGUAAGCUGCAACAAUUAAAACACAAUGUCACCAACAUUUGUGAAAAACUUAAAUUUGCAAAAAAAAAGGGUGUCCUAAGAAUAUGCACCUCAGGUGUCAAAAGUUUGGUGCAUCUUCAGCAUUCAUCAAAAGCUGUAUAAUUAAGAUGUCAGAUACAUCUCUUUGCCCUGACUUUUGACACCCGAGACUCAUUUUUCUAUAUCUUUGAAUGCAAACUUACCAGAUUUGUUUUUCCCACACCGGGCCAUGAACAAAGACACUUUCGAAAUGAUCACUUCUCUCAAUUUUGUGUUGCAACCAAUGUGCACAAUUGGGUGUAUAUCAGUCAAAAGAGCAUGCAAAACUAUGAUAGUGACAAUAGCAUACGAAAAUGAAUUCAGCUAAUGGAAAACUGCAAUUCAUGUAAUAGGCUGGAAUUUCUAUAACUAUCUGUACUUGAGGAGAAAUGGGUGCAAAAAAAAUGUUUAUGAAGUUUCAUAUUCUGAUAUGGAAAUGGAGCAAACUAUAUUUAAGAUCAGAAAAAUGAGGAACUGGUAGGAAAUGAAAUUUACCAUCCAUCCCUAGGGGCAACUAGAGAAGAUAGACAGCUGAAGAGUUGACAGCAGGAGACAAAUUCACCCCCAGGCAGCAGUAGUGAUGAUCUGAUUUCCCCUUCAGCCCAAGCUGGCACCAUUUAUUGAAGGUGCCCUAGAGAACAUCCCCUCCAGUAGGCCUUUUCCACCAGUGGCAUGCCUGAGUGGAUGUACUUGGUGGCAGAAGUGGGUCACAGCCAUUCGGAGGCUCUGAGCUGCACUGGGUGGUUGGAUCAAGCCACCAAUGAAAUUCCCCACGAUGUCUGAGUGUGACGCUAUGUUGGUGGCAUUGUGGGAAAUUUAAACCUAGCUGACUGGUGUUGCUCAGAGGGUCAUGUUGGAGGCACCAGUGCUUAUGAAUACCAGUUGCUGGGAGCCACAGGAGACAAGAGAGGGCUUUUGUGCUUGAAUCCUGCUUGCGGGUUUCCUGCAGGCACUUAGCCAGCCACUGUGAGAACAGGAUGCUGGGCUAGAUGGACCUUUGGCCUGAUCUGGCAGGCUCUUCUUAUGAUCUUAAAAUACUGUAGAAACAGAGGAGGCAUAUCCGUGAAGCACCAUCUCUGGUUACUGGGGCCCAGCAGCUGCCUAGGGAUACUUGUGGUGGACCUUAGCCCUGCCUGCAACAAGGGGCUACUGCUUGGCAAGUCUGGUCUGUCUACUUCAUAGGAGGAGCUAAUGGGGGGACCUACACAUCCAUCCAGUGUGGUGUAGUGGUUAAGAGUGGUGGACUCGUUAUCUGGUGAUCCGGGUUCGCGUCUCCGCUCCUCCACAUGUAGCUGCUGGGUGACCUUGGGCUAGUCACACUUCUUUGAAGUCUCUCAGCCCCACGCACUUCACAGAGCAUUUGUUGUGGAGGAGGAAGUGGAAGGAGAUUGUUAGCUGCUUUGAGACUCCUUCGGGUAGUGCUAAAGCAGGAUAUCAAAUCCAAACUCUUCUUCAUUAUCCUCUCUAGCUUUCUCAGUUGUUGGAGGGAGUCCUACUGGAUUCCAAACAUCUGUGUCAACAGCAGCAGUAACUAGUAGCCAGGCUGGCAGGAAGACAUUGUCAAGACUCCCUUGGCAUCACCGGAGCAAAUUGCCAAAACAAAAGCCCCACCAGCACCAAACAGGCAAAGCUCCUUUGGUGCCCCAGUGGAGAACACUCUUGAGUGUCAAGCUGAACUACACCAAGGAAGGAGCUGCUUCCAGGGCAGCCCAUUUGUUUGUGUUUUGAAGGGAAAAGAUGAAAUGCAAGGCCUUGUCCUGAAUGAUUCCAGUUAGCCACAGGAACGCCAGGGAUGGGAGGUCAGGCAAGCCCAUGUCCUGCUGACCUCUCCCAUUGUGCAGGUCUUCCACCGCUUGUGAUGGUGGAACAAUUCAGUUGAGUGAAAGGACAGGAGAGGUUGCCAUCGCCACUCUUCCCAGUCCCUGAUCCAGUCAAAGUUGGCAGGAUUUCUCCUGUGACCUCAAUGAAAUUGUCACCCCAAUUUUUGCAGCCAGACAGGAGGACCACAGCAGUGUGCUGGCAGUUCCAGUUCAACAUCAAGAGUGACCAAAUAGUCAAUAAAUUGGAAGACACCAUGUGUUUUGGAGAUUGAGGGAUGGGGCUUUGUAUAUUGAAGCAGGGUGGAUUCUUAGUGGUUGAGGUCACCCUACCCCAAGGUCACCCCUUUUACUUCUCUCCCCCUCCCCAUAUUAAUGAAUGAGUGGCCCUAUUAACAAAAUAAAAAUGUUGGAUCAAUUCUAGAAGAUGCUUAAGCUCAGGCUUAGCUGAAUCUCCAAAGGAAAAAGAAUUUCUGGGAAAGCACCAUCUGUUUUGAUGGUAUUGCAUACAUGAUAAAUAGUACAGUGGUACCUCGGGUUAAGUACUUAAUUUGUUCCGGAGGUCCAUUCUUAACCUGAAACUGUUCUUAACCUGAAGAACCACUUUAGCUAAUGGGGCCUCUUGCUGCUGCUGCGCCGCUGGAGCACGAUUUCUGUUCUCAUCCUGAAGCAAGGUUCUUAACCUGAAGCACUAUUUCUGGGUUAGCAAGGUCUGUAACCUGAAGCGUAUGUAACCUGAAGCAUAUGUAACCCGAGGUACCACUGUAAUGCUAAAGUCCAGAGCUGAGAGGGCUUCUGGGGAGAAGUCACUGGGAGAUGACAGUGUCAGCUGGGAAGCACUUUUAGAAGUGAGGGAUAGAGAAAAGUGCAUCUUCUGCAUAGGGGUGACUUAUUCUCAAGAAAGAGGUAUUUGCAAGAAGGCUUCCUCUGAUACCUGGUACACACGUAAUGCUAAGACAUGGUUGGUUUAAGUCAAGGUUUGCUUAACAAACCAUGAGUUUGCCAAGAGUUGUGAAACAGUCAACCCAACAAACCGUGGCUCGUUUCUCCUGUUUUCCAGCUGCUGUUGCCUCACCUUUGCACUCUGAAGAGUAUCUGGUUCCAAAACAUGGUUAAGGAAUGGUGCUGGAUUCUAACAUAAGGCCAAGCAAUAGUUUAAAACAAACUAGGCUUGUUAGACAACAGCAAACCAUGGCCUCAGAUUGUGUUUUGUUGGCAGGAAACAAAUAAUAGUUAAGCAACUGGGCAGGAAUCACACAUAACACUAAUAACUCAUUGUUUAAUAAACCAUGGUUGAGUGGUCUAUGUGUGAGCCAGGCCAAUGUCUGCUUUCAUAGAUGAUGUGCAGUCAGGAUCAUCUAAGAUCCUUGAUGUCUUGGGAUUCCUCCUUUGAUGCUGAAGCAUCCAGAAUCUAGGGGUUGACAAUAAUGGAUCACUAAACUGGAGUUCUCAACAUUUCCUGUUUAAUAGAAAAUGUGGAAACUUCAGUUUCUAGUGCCAUCCAUCUAAUGCCUUUCACCAGUGCCAAAAGUUCUUCAAGAACUGGUUCUCUAUGUGUAUAUUAAAUUCCUCCCCUGUGCUACAAGCCCCCACUUCCUACAAUGGUGUCCUUAAAGAGCUGACUCGUUUUGUGACCCUGUGCACACUUGCUUGAGGGUAAGCCUCACCUGUUACUUCUGAAGUGCUCAGGAUUGUGCCCUCUGAUACGUUUGGGAUUCCCAUGAACCAUUUUUGGGGAGCUCAUGCUGAAGGUGUACCCAGAGCCAAGAGUUAUGCCAGCAAUGUCAUUGUUUCUAAUGGGGCCUCUGCUCAAGCGUUCUCCUUAUGCUGAAUGUAAAAAAUAAUAAUAUCAAUAAUUUUAAAAAUGAACAUGGCGAAUGGGCGGGCAGGGCACUGUUUGAGGUGACCGUUUCCCUUUGUAAACCUUCGGAGCAGUAGAAACCCGGAGGCAGAACUGCUUCUCAAGGCGAUGUAAAUAAACAAGAUCUUUUUCGCAUUUCAACAGCGCUAUGCCCCGCCCCCUGCCCCCACUGUGAGAUAUAUUUUGGAGUUUGAGAAUAUAUGUUAUUAAAAGCAAAAUGUAAUAAUAACAAUAAAAGAUUUGUUGUGACUUG